UCCGCGGUCUAGGCAAGGACAUGCAGCGGCUUAAGCCGCCGCUCAAGACCAUUACCUUUAUGGGCAUGAUGUUCAACUCAUCUAAUGCCGAUC
rnacentral:tRNA from 1 species